rnacentral:lncRNA from 10 species
CGGCCAAAUCACAGCUCUGAGUGGGGAACCACAUUUGAACAGACUAGUCCCUUCUGCCUUCUGGGCAGGUCACAUCUGAAAGAUUAUCCUCUUUGAAUCAGUUUGAAUGUUCUAGUGACCAGGCCACACAGUUUCUCUUGACAUUUAAAAAUAAAGCUUCCAGUCUUGUCACUAAUGGAUUUGGGGUCCAGUACCCUUAAAAUCACCUCAGAGCUGCCUGAAUCCAUAGACUACUUGCAGAAUCACUGGUUUUACUUGGAUCAAGCCAUCUGAGAAGUUUGGCUGAAAUAAAAACUCAAAGCCCCCACAAUAUUGAACCACCAUUCCAGACCCAGCCAAGGUUUGGAACAUAAAGUGAGCUGAAUGAAUCAGCCUGCAGGCAACCCAGAGAAAGUAAUUGUUCAUCCUAGCAGCACGGCUGCUUUUCUGCUUAGCAUCUGAACAAGUUAAUUUGGAAACACAGCCUUCUGGAAAGAAAUGGCGCUUCUCUCAGCAUCCCAUGGAUUCAUGAGCAGCUCCUUGAAUGCAAAUAUUGCCUGAUAUUUUCAUGUGGUCUCCAGACACAGGAGAAGAGCGACGGCGAAGAAAGGAAGGAAGGAAGAAAGAAAAGGAGCCUGAAUUUACACUCACCGCUUCAAAAGCCCUUUUGUACUAAGCCAACUUCUCCUGGCUGAAGAUGCAGUAUCUGCCAAGAAGUCGCCUGCAAGAAAG